AUUGAACGCUGGCGGCAUGCCUUACACAUGCAAGUCGAACGGCAGCACGGGUGCUUGCACCUGGUGGCGAGUGGCGAACGGGUGAGUAAUACAUCGGAACAUGUCCUGUAGUGGGGGAUAGCCCGGCGAAAGCCGGAUUAAUACCGCAUACGAUCUACGGAUGAAAGCGGGGGACCUGCGGGCCUCGCGCUAUAGGGUUGGCCGAUGGCUGAUUAGCUAGUUGGUGGGGUAAAGGCCUACCAAGGCGACGAUCAGUAGCUGGUAUGAGAGGACGACCAGCCACACUGGGAGUGAGGAAGGGCACACACACUGAGGGGAGGAAGCAGUCGGGAAUCUUGCGCGAGGGAGGAGUGGGUAAUCCAGGAAAGUCGGGUAUGGGAUGAUGGACCAAGGCCUGGUGAGCGAUGUAGGCCGGAGGGAUGUCCAGCGCUUUUAUACGGGAUGAGAAUGACAGUACCGGAAGAAUAAGCACCGGCUAACUACGUG
rnacentral:rRNA from 1 species